GCAAUUUAUUUUUCACCAGAGCCUGGGGCCAAGCACAAAGCAGCUUCCCAGUAAAUACAAAGAGUUCAACUCCACUGAUCGAGAAGACUCAGGGCCUCAUGGCCUUGCUUUACACCCCGCCCCUCUGACUGCAGGGGGCUUGUGUCUUCUGGUGUCUUUGACUCAGUGGGGCAUGAAGCACAGAGCUCAAGGCUGGUGGGGGCCCCUCUGCAGGCAGGAUGUAGGGCAGCUUCAUGAGGCUGGGUUCCUGGGCGGCUUUGUCUCCAGAUCUCCAUCCCUGAGGUACACAGGUGAGGCAUGGCAGGCUACCGUGUGGGCCCAAAGUCUCCCAGCCCUUGGCUGCUCCCUCUCCUCACUUGCAGAGGCUGGGCGAUGCCAGGUGCCAUCGCUGCUUGCAGUUGCCCCUGCAGCCCGUGAGCUGGCAGAAGGCUGGCUCUGUCAAAAUUAGCCCCAAAGGUAGAAGUACAAGAAACAAAUGGCCAGAAAGAAGAGGAAUAGCUGCUCAGUGCUCACGGAGAAUCCCGUCUGCCUUCAGCUGAGUAGCUGUGUCCUAUAGCCCCUGGGUGCUGGGGCUGAGUAGGCUCCUCUUGCCCUACACCUGUUCUGCUUCCUCAGGUAGGUCUCCAGCUUGAGGCCACUCAGCUGCUAGGCACCUUUCCAUUCCCCAGGAAAUGCUGGAAGUAGGUCUGUAGACAAAGAGACCUGCCCCUGUUGCUCAGCCUCCUCUGGUGGCAUUGUGAUGCUGGCCUGACUGCCAUUAUGAUGGCCGCUGGGUGGGGGUGGGGCUGCUUCGGGCAGGGCCCCUCACGCAGAACUCUCAUGGGCAUCAUGAACCAGCUCCCUCCCUAGGCCUGCUGUUACCUGGCCCAGUCUCCCAGCCAGCAUCUUCCCUCCAUUCUGGGCAGGGGAGGGUCUAGGCUGGGAAUUGGCCAAAGCUGUGCUGUCCAGUGUAGUGGCUUCUAGCCACAUGUGGUUCUUGACUUAAAAGCAAAUAUAAUGUAAGACUCAGUUCCUAGUCCUGCCAGCCACAUUUCUACAGUAGUCACAUGUGGGUGUGUGUUGACUACGCAGACAAUGACCAGUUCCACCACAGGAAGUUCCACUGGCCAGUGCUAGAUCAAAUAGGAACUUGGCACUGCCUUGGGUGGCACCCCCUGACCUACACUCCCUUCCAUACCAAGAGCUGCCAAGAGUGACCCUGCCACUCUUGAUGACCCAAAGGAUGACACAGUUUCCCCACUGGCGCAGAGAUAAGAAGAUGAAGGAGGAACAAAGCCUUGGGGUGGUGGGAUUCCAGUCCAAGCAUCCUCUGGAAAGAUGUGUAAAGAAUUCCUGCCUCUGGGUGUGGUGACACACCUGUAGCCCCUGGGGGGCUAAGGAAGGAGGAUCACUUGAGACCAGAAAUUUGAAGCCAAACCCAAGGAACAGACAAAACAGGCAGAGACCCUGUCUUUAAAGAAAAAAGAAAAGAAAAAAAAGAAAGAAUUCCUGCCCUACCAGCAAGUAGGUUGGGCUGCCAGGGCUGGUCCUUGUAGGACCCAGGAGCCAUCAGCCUGCACGGAGGGGCCAGCUGUAUCCAGCCUGUGGACCCAAGAACAAAUGACUUACACAUAUGUGAUUUUCAUGUGUUAUCCAGGAGGUCAUGGAGACUUGGAAGGCCAAGCAUAUUAAAAAUGCUUGCAUUUAAAAGCUGGGUGUGGUAGUGUAAUCCUAGCACUUGGCUGAAGCAGGAGGAUUGCUGUGAGUUCAAGGCCAGCCUGAACUACUAUAGCAAGACCCCAUCUCAAAAAAAUAAAGUUUGCAUUCAAACUUUUUUUUUUUUUUGGUACCGGGGAUCAGUCUUGGGUCAUUGUGCUUGGCGCAGCAGGUGAGUAAACCACUGAGCUAAAUCCCCAGCCCUGCAUUCAAACUUUUAAAAGGGACUGGGGUGUAGCUCAGUGUCAGAGUGCUUGCUUAACCAUGCAUGAAGAUCUGGAUUCAAUUCCCAGUACCUCAACAACAACAAAAACUAAAAACAGAAGGAGAAGAGAAGGAGAAUGAGAGGAAAAGUUCCUACAUGUUGAGCACAAUCCACAUAACUGGGGUUAGAAGGAAACUGAAACUCAUUAAGUGAGGAGCUGAUGUGACUGGCUGCAUUCUGUAGUUGGAGCCCACUGGCCAAAGAACCUGGGGAACCUUUUCACUUGAGUCCAGAUCCACCACACAGAAUGGGAAGCACAGCAGUCUCUGAGUGGAGCACCAACCUCAUGACCAAGUGGCCUUGGAAAACUCACUAUUAUUAUACCUCGGCACAAAAAGCAGACACUUCUCUAAAUAAAGGCUCUCAGAGCUGCCUUCGCAGGAGGGUGCAGCUCCUGGCUCCUUGAUCAAUUAGAACAGGAAAGUAGCCCUCAGGUGCAGCUUCUGGAAGAGAAAGGAAGGCCUUUCUGCUGCAGGGGGCCGGGGAGUGCAGGGAACAGGAUCCUGCGAGGUGUGUGAUGCAUGUGACUGAAGGAGAUCAAGUCUGAAGCAAACUGGGAGAUUGGGAAGCUGUGUGGGGGUCAGUACCAAAUAUGCUCAGAGUGAUCCAGGCAGAGUGGGAAGGCACAAGGGACAGUCCCAGGAAGACAUCAAGUAUUGGAAGGGUGGCUGGGACCACUGAAACCCCUCUCAACUGGUGGAGAGGAUUGGGCUUGAAAAUGGGAGGAACAGACCUGGGUGUGGCUGCAUAUACCUGUGAGGCUGAAGCAGGAGGAUUCCAAAUUCAAGGCCAGCUCAGGCACAUAGCAAGAC
rnacentral:tRNA from 1 species